AGCAGCCGCGGUAAUUCCAGCUCCAAUAGCGUAUAUUAAAGUUGUUGCAGUUAAAAAGCUCGUAGUUGAAUUUCGGGGUUAGUACGCUGGUCGUGCCUUCGGUAUGUACUGGUGUUACUGAUUCCUACCUUCUGAAGAACCGUCAUGUCAUUAAUUUGGUGUGGCGGGGAAUCAGGACUGUUACUUUGAAAAAUUAGAGUGUUUAAAGCAGGCUCGCGCUUGAAUACAUUAGCAUGGAAUAAUGAAAUAGGACGUUUGAUCCUAUUUUGUUGGUUUCUAGGAUUGACGUAAUGAUUAAUAGGGAUAGUUGGGGGCAUUAGUAUUCAAUUGUCAGAGGUGAAAUUCUUGGAUUUAUUGAAGACUAACUACUGCGAAAGCUAUUUGUCCAAG
rnacentral:rRNA from 1 species